GACGAAGGGUAAAAAAAAGCAACGCAGCCGGCUCCUCUCUCUCCCCGCUCGUCUCCUCCUCUCCCCCACGCCGCCCCUCCUCUCCCUGCUCGUCUCCUCCUCUCCUCUUCCCUCUCCGACCAGGGUCAGAGCCUCGCCGGCCGCUCCCCCGAGCCGACGCCCACUGGCUGCUCUCCAGAUGCAUCCCACCUCCCCCCCCCCCCCCCCCCCCCCCGCCCCGAGAUCGUGGUCAUGGUGGCGCAACGGAGGUCGUGGCUCGUCCCCCGCCGCCUCUUUCGCGCCCCCCUUUUCCUUGCCCCUCCCCGGCGUCCUUGCCUCUGCCAUGGCCUCCGCCCCCCCUCUCCGCAUCACCCCCGCAGCUGCCUCCUCUCCUGCCACCGCGCCGCCCUGGCCUCGUCUCCUCUGCGCCGCCUCCCCCUCUCCGCCACUGCAUGGCCGCCGUCGCUUCCGCCGCUCGUCUCUUUCUUCACGCAGCACCUGCAGGACGACGCAUCCCCAUCCUCCAUCAGCCGCUGUGGUGCGCCAUGGUUCUUGACCGGCCGCAGAUCCAGGAGAAGAGGAGGACGGCGGUGGGGGGAAGGAAGAGCGCGGCCUGGACUCGGCAGGAGGAGAGGGGCAGCAGCAGAUCGGGCUCAGGUUAGGCGAGGCUGGUGGUGCUCAGGCUUCAAGGCGUGCAUUACGUGGACAUGGAGCGAGCGUGGGACAAGGGCGUGGGACAAGGUGACGGUGACCGGCACGGCGAGCCAGAAGAAGGUGUUGCGCGCGGCGCGGCGCACGAGGAAGCUUGCCCACACCCCUCCUCCGCUCGCUCUCGUCUCCGUCAGGCUGUUGAGCUCCUGCUUCCUCCUUGAUCUUCCCAUUGAUUUAGUACUACUACUGUACUGUGUGCUUGUGUUGUUUGUUUGAGGGGUACGGCUACUACUUGUGCUGCUGCUAGAUGUGUGAUGUUGGUUGUAUAUGUGUUUAAUGUUGUUGGGUGCUGCUGGUUCAACUACUACCUGUGCUGGUUGAUUUAAUAUCCGUUUAUUUGUGAAACUGAAAACUCCUGUGAGAGGCAAGGAUUGACAAGAAGGGUCUGAGCCAAUGAGAAGUUUUAUUUUCAGUUUUCAUAUUUAAGAAGUAAUGGAGGAUAUGUCAUAUGUUUUGUUGCUAACAUUUACCUAUGGUGUAUGUAGCUGAUGUUCACUCCAUUGGAGCUGAGUCUCCUUGCCGGCGACCUUGCCAUCACCAGCCUAUCUGCAGGGAUGGACAUAUGGAUUGAAUGGUACCCUCCUGAAAUCUACACAGGUGUCAGAUUUAAGAAAGAAGAAAUAGGGCCAAGAAUAUUAGACCGGAGAACGAAGAGAUGAAGAACAAUGUUAGCUGAAGAGUUGAAGAAGACCAAGGUGAAUUUUAACCGUCUUGCAAACCCAAUCAAGUUUGCACUUCAAUUUGAUAAUAUGAUUUGUGUUGAUGUAAGCACGAGUCCCUCUGAAGGGCUCGACCACCGUCCGGUUCCAGUGGAGGACAACAUCACUUAGCUGUGGCCAUCCUGGGCGCCGCGAGAAUUAGCUGAAAAAUCUUGCUGAGAUCCAGGUCACUGGCCAUCCCCAUUCAGGUGGCUCUGAAACUUGUUCCUAAUGAAGAUAAAUUUAUGGAAGUGGUUAGGGAAACAGGAGGAGCAAUUUUAGCAUGGCAGGUGCUUCUCAGGUUCGAUGGCUUCCGGCAACAUCAAGGUCAUAGUGCUUUCCUCGUGGGUUCAGCCUUUGACAUUAAGUGAUCAUCUGCAAGACCGAAUUUUGCCAUUGUUGAUGGUGCACAGUUCUGUUGCAUGGUAAACCCAAUAUUGUCCCUCCUUUCAAGCUCCUGCGUUCAUCCUAGAGAAAAUUGUGGAAAAUACAUCUGAACUAUCUUUUAAUCUUCCAACAGUGUACUGCUACAGAUGGGCUUUAUUCAGUUAUUUUCUUGACUAGAAUGAUGAUGUUUGCGGAUGGGCGUUGUUCAGUCAUAAGAGCUUAUCGGUUCAGCCUGCAUAGUUUUGUUUCUUCAGUGUACUAUGUCUGAGGAAAACAUUUAUUUUGUUUCCUAUUUAAGUGAAUUCAUGGCUGAGAUGGAUGAAUUUCUAUUGUGUGGGCUGGAGGUUCUUGAGGUGGAAAUUAGCAAGCAAGCUACAGUCGGUCCAUGGAUGACCAAGUUUACUGAUUACUUUAUGAAGACAAUGAUUCCUAAAUAGAAUUACGAGCUAGGUCCUGCAUGUUGAUCGUGCUUCAAGGUACAGUUGUGACAUAGGUAAAUGCUCAACUUUAGCUCAUAAACUGGAUUCAAAUGCUAAUUCUGAUAGGGCUUUUGCCACUUAUUGUUUUAUGGUUGCCUAGACAGCUGAUGUCAUGCUUCUUUCUUACUAAUUGUCAAUUCUUUUGUACAUGGUCCUUAUGCUUUGUUGCUUUGCUACACAAUGAGAGUAUGUAGAUAGCAUGUACAGUUUUUACAUUGUUUUGCGCAGGUUGAGAUGCAUCACAUGAUAUUUGCCUCUUACAUUUAUGGGUAUUACAGAGUGAUUUCUUUUUCCACAAGGGGCAGUAGCUGUGCCAUUCGAUUCGAAGGACAAAGAGUUGAUCACAAAGAGGUAGCAUUCAGGAUAUAUACACAAAAGAGUAUAGAACCAAAUUACAUGAUGUAAUUGACCAUUAUUUCUAUUAACUUUUCCUGCACACAAUGUUCGUGAGUUCAUAUAUUAAGUACAUUUUAUUGUGUCA